rnacentral:lncRNA from 1 species
CCUGCAUCCCAUGGAGAGAAAACACUCGGAGAAGCUGGAGAGAGAGCGGAGAUGCACGUUACAACGCAGCCAUUUAUCAGCACAGGAUAAUGCUUCUUCCUCCUCUGACAUGAACGUGGGGUCUGUAAUUGUGCUUUUAAUUUUCAUGUCAAGGAUGCAAUAGUGGAGGGCUUCAUUACCGAGACAGACAGUUAUUUUAUCUUUGCGUGCAGCAGAAAUAAAACAUGCAAAAAUAACUCUCACUCUUAAAGAAACACACAGUAAUUCUUUAGCAUUAGGUUUGUAUGAAAUAUUCAGUCCAGUGUGAGAAGGUUUGGAGACAAAGUCCUGAAAAUGUUUCUGUAAAUCUGUUCUUACUGUCUGAUCAUUUACAUACAGCAUUUUUCUUUUUUGGUUAAGAUCUUUAAAUUUUACUUUAAAGUUUCAGGUUAACCCAAAAAUAUCAGUGAAUAACUUUUUAGUUGAAAAUCCAAGAUUUUUAUUGUUAACCACGUUGAUUAUGUAUGACUGAGGAAUUCUCUUAUUAAGGGUCUCCACGUAAAGGGCAUAAAAAAUAAACUAAUAUUUUUAUUAAAGACCCACUCCAAUAAGAAUCAUGUUUGUCUUGUUGUUUACGUGUUCAUAUGGCAUUUUGUCAGAUGCUGCAAGACAUAUCAUGAGAAAACUUAAGUGCAAAACUGCAUUUUGAGUAUUUCUGCAUUCAAUUUGUUGUGAACCUCAGGCAGACCCAGAUGGCAGGUUCAGAUACAGUAAGAUUUUCUAUGUCACAACUCCAGGCUCCGCCCCAAACUGCAGGCCAGUGUGUGCGUUAGCGGAUUGCAAUGCUCAUAAGAAAACUAAUUAUGAUAUUAGCUUUUAUCAUGUCUCCAAAGACAUUAGUGUCUAGGGUGACCAUAUUCUGACUUCCCAAAAAGAGGACAUGACUACGCUGGGGUGGAGUCACAGAGUCUUACAAAGUUAAUUUUGAGAGUUUUUUGGGUCAGAUCGAGUGUCUUUUUGCUUCCAACUCAGUAAGUCCGCGUGACACAAAGUCAAAACUCCCUUGACAAAGCCAGACAAGCCCAGACAAGCCGGACAGCCCCCCAAAAAGAGGACAUGUCCGGGUAAAAGAGAACAUAUGGUCACCCUACUAGCAUCCGAAAGCUGAAUAGCUCCUAUAUUACCUGCUACUUCUGCUGCACUGACAACGUUAGGCUACAAGCUAGCAUGAAGAGGAAGGUCUAGAGCAGCACUGUCUCCACCCACAACUUAGACGCAAAUUGUGAAUGAGCUACUGGAGCUCUGCAGAAGAGAGGCUCUUGAAGAUGACACAGGUAAUGUGAUUUUGGCUGAAAAACUUAAUAAUCCCAAAUUUAAAGGCUAAUGAUAUCACUUUAAGUGGUUAAAAAAAAAAAAAAAGACCUAGCAUUUAAAAAAAUAAACACACACACACACACACACAUACACACAUGCGCGCACAAGCAUGUGUCCUUGCAAAAGUUUCACCUGUGGGCUUAAGAUCUAAAGCUGCAUGCAUCAAUUCAUACACACUAUUUGCACCUGAGAGCACAGUGUCGUAGAUUUGCACCUUUGAGCUCUCUGUCAUAAGUACACACCUGUAGGUAGAAUCUCACAGAUUUGCACCUGAACAUUGUGAUGCUCUGUUUCAUAGAUUUGCACCCGUGUACUAUAGUACAUAGAUUUUCCCUUACAGGCACUGUUUGGUGGAUUCACGCCUCUUGGCUCUGUUUAAGAGAUUUUUACCUUUAGGCUCAGUUUCAUAGAUUUGCACCUGUGGGAAAAGUUACAUAAAUUUACAAUCCACAAAAUCCAAGUCUAUCAGCCCACAUGUAAAACAGUGAUUUUCUGCACUGUCAAGCUUUUCCAUCGCUUACAUUUUAAAAAUUGUCAGUCAUCCUUUUCAGUCUUUCAUCUUAGUUAUGAAGAGACUUAGAGGCCGUUAUUCUAUUACAAUACAGAGGUAAGCAUCUUUAAUGAUGAAGAAACUCAGUUAAAUGUUCGAUCAAUUAAGCCCAAAUAUAGUUUUUGCACUCCUAAACUUUGUUGCCCAUCAUUCUGAGCUUCUGAUUACAACGUACUAUAUACUAGUCUGAUGCCUUCUUGGUGAAUCAGCCCACCAGGUCAUGAGAUCACCAGUCCAGAUCUGGAGGUGGUCCCUCUCCUCCUCACUCUGAAUAUGAAAUUGAAGAGCAUCCAGUGUUAUCAGUCUACUUCUACAUUGCGCUGCUGUUAGCGUCCAUUCCUCUCACCAUCAGGAGCACCUUUACUGUGUCCCUCUCAGGCUGCAGAGGACUCAGGCCGCUCCAUCCCUCAGUUUCAUCACUCUGGAUGACAUGUUGCGCGUCCUUUUCAGUCUAAACCACAGAGCAGAGAGGCACAAAAAACUCUCUUCAUCUCCAAGGCAACUAGCAGUUUGAGUGUGUGUGUGUGUGUGUGUUUGUACAGUAAUCUGUGUGUGUGUGUGUGUGUGUGUGUGUGUGUGUGAGCGUGUGUGUGUGUGUGUGUAUGGGGUGUAAAAUCCACAGAAAAACAAGGCUUUGGCAAAUCUCCGCUCCUCUGAGUUUUGGUAGAGAUGCUCCCUGAAGCUUUAUCCUGUUUUUUUUAAUCAGGCUCAUUGACUCACUGAUAAUUUGAACAAAUGAUCCAAAUUGAGACUUAACCUGUUUAAAAGGAGGAGGGGAAGCCUUUUUGCAGACAAAUUAGCCCUGAAUCAGAUGAGUAGCGUCAUCCUGUGUUGCUGUUUUUGAGCUGGGAGGAGGCUGCAGCUGGGAUUUCUGAGACAUGCUCCACCUGUUUUUUUUGCAGAUUUUUUUGACAUGCAAACUCAAAUCCAGGAUUCAAAGACUUUUAUUCAACUAACUUUUGUUCUGCACUGUCCUCUGACUUUUUUAAGAAGAGUGAGUCUGCAUGGAUUAAAACUUUGUGACUUUCAGUGACUUUUCGAUGCCGCCCAGUUUCUCUUGUCUGUUUUAAUUUUUCCUCUUCUUUAUUCAGAAUUCAGCGUCUCCCUCUGUCUCUUUCCUUCUGCCAUCAUGUCUGCCCUGAGAAUACUGAGAAAGACCUGAACUGGGAGGUCAGGGCCUUCUGCCAGAACACUUUGCUGUUAAGCAUUUUUAAACUCCUCCCGGGUGAUUAUACGCACCUCAACCUCAGUUUUAUACUCCAAGAGCAGCCGUUGAUGGGACUUUUUCUCUCUAUUAGCAUCCAGAGC